GAUGAACGCUGGCGGCGUGCCUAAUACAUGCAAGUCGAGCGAACGGACGAGAAGCUUGCUUCUCUGAUGUUAGCGGCGGACGGGUGAGUAACACGUGGAUAACCUACCCAUAAGACUGGGAUAACUUCGGGAAACCGGAGCUAAUACCGGAUAAUAGUUUGAACCGCAUGGUUCAAAAGUGAAAGACGGUCUUGCUGUCACUUAUAGAUGGAUCCGCGCUGCAUUAGCUAGUUGGUAAGGUAACGGCUUACCAAGGCAACGAUGCAUAGCCGACCUGAGAGGGUGAGCGGCCACCCUGGAACUGAGACACGGUCCAGACUCCUACGGGAGGCAGCAGUAGGGAAUCUUCCGCAAUGGGCGAAAGCCUGACGGAGCAACGCCGCGUGAGUGAUGAAGGUCUUCGGAUCGUAAAACUCUGUUAUUAGGGAAGAACAUAUGUGUAAGUAACUGUGCACAUCUUGACGGUACCUAAUCAGAAAGCCACGGCUAACUACGUG
rnacentral:rRNA from 1 species